rnacentral:rRNA from 1 species
UACGAAGGGGGCUAGCGUUGCUCGGAAUCACUGGGCGUAAAGCGCACGUAGGCGGCUUGUUAAGUCAGGGGUGAAAUCCUGGAGCUCAACUCCAGAACUGCCUUUGAUACUGGCGAGCUUGAGUUCGGGAGAGGUGAGUGGAACUGCGAGUGUAGAGGUGAAAUUCGUAGAUAUUCGCAAGAACACCAGUGGCGAAGGCGGCUCACUGGCCCGAUACUGACGCUGAGGCACGAAAGCGUGGGGGAGCAAACAGG